CACCAGGUUGAUUCUGCCUGACGUGGGUGCUAGCCUCUAAGAUUUAGCCAUGCAUGCUUUGUGAACCCAGACGGGGGAACGGCGAACGGCUCAGUAAUGUUGCGGUGAUCUGCUCUGGUUGAGAAAGAUAACCACGGUAAACUGUGGCUAAGAGACCAGAAUGAGCUGCAACCCUAUCAGUUUGUUGGAAGUGUAAAAGACUCCCAAGACGUCGACGGGUAACGGGAAAUCAGUGUUUGAUUCCGGAGAGGGAGCCUGAGAGAUGGCUCCCACGUCCAAGGAUGGCAGCAGGCGCGAAAAUUGUCCACUCUUUGGAGAGGAGACAGUUAUGAGGCGUGAUUAAAAGAGCGAAGUGUAAACACCUUCGUGUAACGCAAUUGGAGGGCAAGUUUUGGUGCCAGCAGCCGCGGUAAUUCCAACUCCAAGAGUGCCCAUGGUGGAUGCUGCAGUUAAAAAGUCCGUAGUCGUAGAUGCAAUUAAAGGGUGCGGAUCAAGCGCACUGAGUUUGUUGAGUUGUAGCGGAGCGGAUAGGGAGCAUGGUAUAGGUUGGCGAAGAAUGAAAUCUCAAGACCCAACCUGGACCAACUGAGGCGAAAGCGGUGCUCUUAUACGCAUCCGAGGAUCAAGGACGAAGGCUGGAGGAUCGAAAGUGAUUAGAUACCGCUGUAGUUCCAGCAGUAAACUAUGCCGACAUUCUCUGUCCAGCGGACGGGGAAGGGAGAAAUCUUAGUUUUCGGGCUCUGGGGAUAGUACGCUUGCAAGAGUGAAACUUAAAGCGAAAUUGACGGAAGGACACUACCAGGAGUGGAUUGUACUGCUUAAUUUGACUCAACGCGGGAAAACUUACCAGGGUCAAGUUCUCCGUAGAUCGAGUACGUGAGGGGAACGAGAGUGGUGCAUGGCCGUUGGAAAUUGAUGGGAUGACUUUUAGCUUAAAUGCUGAAACCAGUGAGAUCUUCUAGACAGGUGCCAUCCGGCACAGGAGGGCGAAGGCGAUAACAGGUCCGUGAUGCCCUUAGAUAUCCUGGGCUGCAAGUGCAAUACAAUAUCCAUGUCGAUCAAGAAAGGUGAUUAUGGAUGAGCAGGAUUAGCUCUUGUAAAUGAGCUAUGAAUGAGGAAUUCCUAGUAACAGUGUCUCACUAAGGCAUUGUGAAUGCGUCCCUGUUCUUUGUACACACCGCCCGUCACUAUUUCAGAUGGCCAUGAAGAUGAAGAGCUUCGGUUCUGAAUAUUCAUGUCUAGAUAAAGUACAAGUCGUAACAUGGUUGCUGUUGG
rnacentral:rRNA from 1 species